AGGACAAACUCACAAAUCUAAGCUUUUGAGUUUUAUAAAAUAUGGUUUAAUACUAAGUAAAAUAAUUUUAUUAAUAUAAUAUUAACUAACUUAGUAAACAAUAAGUUUACUUUCUUUUUAGUGUCUUACGUUUAUAUAUUCAAGAAAAAUACUAUAGGUUUCAAUAUAAAUAAUGUUUAAAUGAGUAUAAAAAUUAAAAAAAAUAAAGGAACUCGGCAAAAAUUAUCUUCAACUGUUUACCAAAAACAUAGCUAGUCGUAUAACAUAACUAGCGUGCUCUGCCCGGUGAUAUAAAAUUUAACGGCCGCAGUACACUGACUGUGCAAAGGUAGCAUAAUCAAUUGGCUAUUAAUUGUAGUCGAGUAUGAAAGAGUCCAUGGGGAAAAGCUGUCUUUAUUUUUUUUUCUAAAACUUACUAAGCAAGUGCAAAUUCUUGCAGUACACCUAUAAUAGACGAGAAGACCCUAUAAAUUUUUACUAUACAGGUUAUAUUCACCUAAGCCAUUUUUGUUGGGGCAACAAAUUAACAGAAUAAAGUAAAUAUAAUUACAUUAACUAAAAAUACAA
rnacentral:rRNA from 1 species